rnacentral:rRNA from 1 species
AUGAACGCUGGCGGCGUGCCUAAUCCAUGCCCGUCGAGCGAACAGACGAGGAGCUUGCUCCUCUGACGUUAGCGGCGGACGGGUGAGUAACACGUGGAUAACCUACCUAUAAGACUGGGAUAACUUCGGGAAACCGGAGCUAAUACCGGAUAAUAUAUUGAACCGCAUGGUUCAAUAGUGAAAGACGGUUUUGCUGUCACUUAUAGAUGGAUCCGCGCCGCAUUAGCUAGUUGGUAAGGUAACGGCUUACCAAGGCAACGAUGCGUAGCCGACCUGAGAGGGUGAUCGGCCACACUGGAACUGAGACACGGUCCAGACUCCUACGGGAGGCAGCAGUAGGGAAUCUUCCGCAAUGGGCGAAAGCCUGACGGAGCAACGCCGCGUGAGUGAUGAAGGUCUUCGGAUCGUAAAACUCUGUUAUUAGGGAAGAACAAAUGUGUAAGUAACUAUGCACGUCUUGACGGUACCUAAUCAGAAAGCCACGGCUAACUACGUG